GACGAACGCUGGCGGCGUGCUUAACACAUGCAAGUCGAACGGAAAGGCCCUGCUUUUGCGGGGUGCUCGAGUGGCGAACGGGUGAGUAACACGUGAGUAACCUGCCCUUGACUUUGGGAUAACUUCAGGAAACUGGGGCUAAUACCGGAUAGGAGCUCCUGCUGCAUGGUGGGGGUUGGAAAGUUUCGGCGGUUGGGGAUGGACUCGCGGUUUAUCAGCUUGUUGGUGGGGUAGUGGCUUACCAAGGCUUUGACGGGUAGCCGGCCUGAGAGGGUGACCGGCCACAUUGGGACUGAGAUACGGCCCAGACUCCUACGGGAGGCAGCAGUGGGGAAUAUUGCACAAUGGGCGGAAGCCUGAUGCAGCAACGCCGCGUGCGGGAUGACGGCCUUCGGGUUGUAAACCGCUUUCGCCUGUGACGAAGCGUGAGUGACGGUAAUGGGUAAAGAAGCACCGGCUAACUACGUG
rnacentral:rRNA from 1 species